UACAGAGACUGCAAGCGUUAUUCGGAUUCACUGGGCGUAAAGGGUGCGCAGGCGGUCGGGUGUGUCAGAUGUGAAAUCCCGAGGCUCAACCUCGGAACUGCGUCUGAAACUACUCGACUAGAGUACUGGAGAGGGUAACGGAAUUCACGGUGUAGCAGUGAAAUGCGUAGAUAUGUGGAGGAACACCAGUGGCGAAGGCGACUCUCUGGUCUGUAACUGACGCUGAGGCGCGAAAGCGUGGGGAGCAAACAGG
rnacentral:rRNA from 1 species